UAUGAUGUCACAAAUGUAUUCUGCUAUGUCUACUGGGAGGAUACACUAGUGGGGAUAGUUCUGUGUAUACAGUGAUUAAGCACAUAGGUUCUGGAGCCAGUCUCUUUCUUUCAAAAUCACCUCAUUGCUUUUGAAGAAUCAGUCAAAUGGACAAAGAGGUCAUUUUAUAUUUUAUCACCUAAGAAUUUGAUUUGAAAAGAGGAUCAGACACCACAGGAAAUUUGAUUUAUGCCAGCCCUGCAUCCAAGUGCUGUGACAAGUAAAUGAAAUAGCACAAAUGCAGUGCCUGGGAGUGGAUCAUCAUAAGAACACUGAUCUUCAUACAGAAUCCAAGAGAAAGGCCCUACUGAUGAAUGAAGAAGUGGCUUUCUAGAUUAUUGUAAAACAAUGAUUUUGUAAAACAGCAUCAUGUGUUACUCCCUUCCACUACUAAAAAAGGUACAACAUGCUUUUUCUGGCGAAACCCCCAUGAGACUACAGGUGUGAAGCAAGAUAGAAGCAUCAGUGCAAAAGAGCUCUUCCAGGGUGAAGGAUGGACUUUGGUGUGUUCUCUUUUGUACAUGCCUCAGUGAGAUGCACAAAGCACAACUUGGUCAGAUUCACAGAGGCUCUUGUCUCCUCUAACUCUUCCUGACUCAGACUGCAUUUCCAAAUAAAGCCUCUCACAAUCUUUAAUCGGGCUGUAAAUUUUAAGAAAUCUGGACCAAGACAGUUUGCUCCAAGAGUAUCCCACAAAUGCAAAUCUUCAGAGUGAGAUUUUAUUAUUGGAUUGCUCACCUGUCUGUUGCUGAAAAUGGAUGAAUGUUUCAUGAGCUUCAAAACCCUUCUCUAAGAACUAGGAGCAUCCCAAGAAAUUAUACAGUCUCAUUUGGAACAAAAUGAAAACUCAGUCCACCUAAGAGUUUCUCAGACAUUUGACCUUUGUGUCUGCAGGAAAUUUCCUCUAAUCUGAUGGGACACUCCCGCAAUGAUGCUUCAGCUGUAUUUUAACCUCAAGAAACCCUAAGAUCCCUCACUCCUAUGCUGCUGUCAACGGGAGGCUAAGAAGCACAGAGAAAUAGGCCACACAAAGUCUACCUCUCUGAACACUCUGGUUUGUUGAGAUGACAGAUGGUUAAGUCUCUCUCUGACAUCAAGAGAUAGAGCCAAAGUUAUCAUGGAAUUGUUUCUUUUGGAAUGUCAAGUUUAUGUGCACCGUAUCACUCUUCUGAAAUGGACUCAAGAUUCAGGGUCUCAUCUUACUUUUGAUGUAACUACACUCAUAUUCAUCCAUGUGUGAAAAAUGUGAAAGAAACACUGAACAAGUCACACUCCUGCAAGGGCAUGGAACACAGAAUGGCAAGUAUAUCCACUAGGAUUGUAUUUUUCUACAAGAAAUAGCCUGGCAAAUGGUGGCCUAAAUUACUAAUCAGUUUAUUUUAUUCUUCUACAUAAGUUAGCAAACCAUGAUUGGUCUUAAGGAGCCAUCAAAAUCCAAUUUCCUUCAAGCUUUCUGCCUAGCCUUCCUUCACAUAUAGCUUCCAUUCUCCAGUUUCCCCCUGUGAACCUGGUAAAAAGAGAUUUCAAAGUUCAAACCCGAAAUAUAAAUAAUUAUUCAGGAAUAUCUUAACCAAUUUAUUGCAUGUAUAGUUUGUAGUUUUAUAAAUGCACAGCUUUGGGAGGCCGAGGCAGGUGGAUCACAUCUUCAACCUUUCUGGACUACAGCACCUGCCAACUGACCCCCACAUCAUGGCUCCAACGCUGGCUUCAUCACAUAUCUUCUCUCUCAGUCCCUUUGGCUCUCAGGGUGCAAUAGCUUAACAAAAUUGCUGAUCUAGGUGCCUCAGCAUUGUUUCUUUGUCAUAGUCUCUGUAUUAUCUUAUUUUGAGCCAUUCUUUUC
rnacentral:lncRNA from 1 species